GGCUUUCUUCCUGUAGCCGUCCGCGCUUAAUUGCGUGCGUUGUUGUUACGGAACUUUUACUUUGAGAAAAAUAGAGUGUUUCAAGCAGGCUUGUCGCCCUGAAUACUUCAGCAUGGAAUAAUAGGAUAGGACCUUGGUUCUAUUUUGUUGGUUUCUAGGACCAAGGUAAUGAUUAAUAGGGACAGUUGGGGGCAUUCGUA
rnacentral:rRNA from 1 species